rnacentral:misc_RNA from 1 species
ACAAGGUUUCCGUAGGUGAACCUGCGGAAGGAUCAUUACAGAAUGAAAAGUGCUUAACUGCAUUUUUUCUUACACAUGUGUUUUUCUUUUUUUGAAAACUUUGCUUUGGUAGGCCUUCUAUAUGGGGCCUGCCAGAGAUUAAACUCAACCAAAUUUUAUUUAAUGUCAACCGAUUAUUUAAUAGUCAAAACUUUCAACAACGGAUCUCUUGGUUCUCGCAUCGAUGAAGAACGCAGCGAAAUGCGAUAAGUAAUAUGAAUUGCAGAUAUUCGUGAAUCAUCGAAUCUUUGAACGCACAUUGCGCCCUUUGGUAUUCCAAAGGGCAUGCCUGUUUGAGCGUCAUUUCUCCCUCAAACCCUCGGGUUUGGUGUUGAGCGAUACGCUGGGUUUGCUUGAAAGAAAGGCGGAGUAUAAACUAAUGGAUAGGUUUUUUCCACUCAUUGGUACAAACUCCAAAACUUCUUCCAAAUUCGACCUCAAAUCAGGUAGGACUACCCGCUGAACUUAAGCAUAUCAAUAA